AGCAGCCGCGGUAAUUCCAGCUCCAAUAGCGUAUAUUAAAGUUGUUGCAGUUAAAAGCUCGUAGUUGAAUUUCGGGGUUCUACCGUUGGUCGGGCUUUGUCUGUACUGGCGUGUAGAAUUUCUACCUUCUGGGGAACUAUCAUGUUAUUAAUUUAGCGUGGUAGGAAACCAGGACCUUUACCUUGAAAAAUUAGAGUGUUCAAAGCAGGCUUAUGUCUGAAUACAUUAGCAUGGAAUAAUAAAAUAGGACGGUGGUCCUGUUUGUUGGUUUCUGAAUCACCGUAAUGAUUAAUAGGGAUAGGUUGGGGCAUUAGUAUUCAAUUGUCAGAGGUGAAAUUCUUGGUAUUUAUUGAAGACUAACUACUGCGAAAGCAUUUGCCAAGGAUGUUUUCAUUAAUCAAGAACGAAAGUUAGGGAUACGAAGACGAUCAGAUACCGUCGUAGUCUUAACCAUAAACUAUGACCGAC
rnacentral:rRNA from 1 species